UGAACCUUUAAUGUAGUCCUGUGAGGCUAUGAAGGAUACAGACCGAUACUUAUGUGUAUCAUACAUAAGUACUUAAAUUUGGGAUUCGUAUACCCUCAUACCUCGAUAUGGUAUGAGGUUUUUUCAU
rfam:Virgibacillus soli strain PL205 scaffold000033, whole genome shotgun sequence.